GGGAGCGACUUGGCUUCGACAGGAGUAAGUCUGCUUAGAUGGCAUGUCGCUUUGGGCAAAGCGUAAAAAGCCCAAAUAAAAUUAAACGCAAACAACGUUAAAUUCGCUCCUGCUUACGCUAAAGCUGCGUAAGUUCAGUUGAGCCUGAAAUUUAAGUCAUACUAUCUGGCUUAAUUUUCGGUCAUUUUUGAUAGUGUAGCCUUGCGUUUGACAAGCGUUGAGGUGAAAUAAAGUCUUAGCCUUGCUUUUGAGUUUUGGAAGAUGAGCGAAGUAGGGUGAAGUAGUCAUCUUUGCUAAGCAUGUAGAGGUCUUUGUGGGAUUAUUUUUGGACAGGGGUUCGAUUCCCCUCGCUUCCACCA
rnacentral:tmRNA from 1 species